rnacentral:misc_RNA from 1 species
GUGAAUCAUCGAAUCUUUGAACGCAUAUUGCACCAUCUGAUAUUCCGUAGAGUAUGCCUAUUUGAAGGUCAUUUGAAAUAAUAUAAAUUUCGAAAUUUUCUGGGAAUCAAAAAUGGCUCGUUCCAGCUUUCGUGUUGUGAUCGCCUAAAAUGCAAGACAAGCUCAUUUCUUGGGGUGCGUUAU